AUCAAGAAAGUUAUCUUAUAGAAAUGCUUGGGCUUUCUUUCUCCAGAGUGUUGGAGCGUAAGUUACAAGUAUUCACAUGCCUGCUCUGUGAAACUGUGUCCUGAGCAUUGUGUGGCAGUGCCAUCACUCAGACUUGACACAAGAUAUAUUAUGCAAUAUCUGGUGUAUACUUCUACAGCAACUUGAGCAAAGACAAGUCUCAAAGUUUCAGCUUGGAAGAAAGAACACUGUUCAUUUGUGAAUAUUGUACAACUAUGGUGUCACACAUUGAGCAGACGGAAACACAGACCAUGCUCCUGACCCAACACUAAUGCCUUACCUCUCAAAAUAAUUCCUGAUUUUCUCAUAAAUGAGAAUGACUCAGAGAUUACUUCAGUCUAACAAAGGCCCUCCUUCUUAUUUAGUUCAAAGAUGAUGUGUGCUUUCCCUUCAUACCAAGAGUUUAAAGCUCAAGGAAC
rnacentral:lncRNA from 1 species